rnacentral:rRNA from 1 species
UACAGAGGUCUCAAGCGUUGUUCGGAUUCAUUGGGCGUAAAGAGCGCGCAGGCGGUCGAUCAAGUCGAGUGUGAAAGCCCCCGGCUCAACUGGGGAGGGUCAUUCGAUACUGAUCGACUCGAAGGCAGGAGAGGGUAGUGGAAUUCCCGGUGUAGCAGUGAAAUGCGUAGAUAUCGUGAGGAACACCAGAGGCGAAGGCGGCUACCUGGACAAUUGCUGACGCUCAGGCACGAAAGCGUGGGGAGCAAAAGGG